GGGUACUCUUUUUAAAAUUUGAAAAAUAAAAAUUGUUCAACCCCUCUGAAUUACUUGAAUAUUUGUCGGGCAUAUACAGUUUUAAAUCGAACUUUCAUGAGUUUUUUUGUUUUUUUUGUUUUUGUUGUUUUUUUUUUGCUUUAAACUCGAAGUAAAUUAGAACUAUUUUUAAUUCGGCUAUGUUUUGGGUUUAAUAAAAAAAAACUGACAUGAGUCCGACAUUAAUUAUUUGAAACUACAAGUACUACACAUAACUUCACUUUUUCAUUCAUAAACCACAAAAUUAUUUUAAAUAUUAAGUUUUUGGUUUUAUUUAUUCGUUUUAAUAUAUAUUAACUUUAAGAUAUUUUUUAUAAAAAUAUGUAAAGUGAUAUAAGUCUUAGAUAAAUAUAAAAACAUAUAUGUUACUAGUUGAUUUAUUGUAAAUAUAUUAUGUACAACUAAAAAUACUAUAUAUUUAAAAAAUUUCAUUGUAUGUUGUAAUUAACUUAAUUUUAUAUAAUGUUCAAAUUUUCAUUGUAUUUAAUUUAAUAAUAAUAUUUAUUUUUAUAUAUAAGAAUUUGUAUUUUUU
rnacentral:lncRNA from 1 species